rnacentral:rRNA from 1 species
UACGUAGGGGACGAGCGUUGUCCGGAUUUAUUGGGCGUAAAGGGUGCGUAGGCGGCGCGGUAAGUCGGGUGUGAAAUCUCGGAGCUUAACUCCGAAACUGCAUUCGAUACUGCCGUGCUUGAGGACUGGAGAGGAGACUGGAAUUUACGGUGUAGCGGUGAAAUGCGUAGAUAUCGUAAGGAAGACCAGUGGCGGAAGGCGGGUCUCUGGACAGUUCCUGACGCUGAGGCACGAAGGUCGGGGAGCAAACGGG